rnacentral:tRNA from 1 species
GGGGUUGUAGUCUAACUUGGCUAGGACACGAAAUUAUGUGGAAGCCUCGGGCGCUCGGAAUCUGGGUUCAAAUCCCGGCAACCCCA